CCGGGGCCGGGAGAACGCGGGCGCCGCUGCCCCUCCCCCACCGCGGGCGGCUGCCGGAAGAACGCGGGCUGCUGCCUGGAGACCGCGGGCGACGGCUGCGCCUUGCUCGCCUGAGCUCCUUCGCGAGCCGGGACUCGAGCGGCGCUGGGCGGCGGCCUCCUGCACUCCGUGAAGUUGAAUGAGCGUAACAAUCAAAGUGGCCGCCGCCGCGGCUCCUCAGCAGCCCGGAGGCUCAGCGCCUAGACGAGUUCGGGGCAGAAUGAGACCCGAGGUGGGAGGAGAACGGCGGGCCGAGGAUCGGGUCCUCCUCGCUCGAUUCGCCUCCUCCUGGGAUUGUGGUAGCCGGGUCCAAGGGAAGAGGACGGAGCGUUGGGACUGACCAUUUGGAGGAAGGUUGCCCGGGGAUCCUGUUAGUGCACCUGCCCCUUCUCCCCCGACCCCAAGACAUUUUUAACAUCACCUCAUCCCUCAAGUUCGGCUCUCUCAUUCUCCAGUAAAAAAGGCUAAACUGUUGGGUCUGAUAGGUAAUCGAGUGGUGUAUGAGGAAAAGAGGGAGAAAGGGAUUGGUGAGACGGGUCUGGGGUUGCAGCUCGGGAGUAGAGCCCUUGCCCUGCAAGCGCGGAACCCCGGGAUUCAAUCCCCAGCACUGGGGUGGGGGCGGGGGUAAUAAGAAGUGAGAAGAAAAUUGCCAAAAUCGGGUUGAGAAAGUCCUGUGAAGUAGAAAGUACUUCUGUCCAUUAGUUCCAGAUACAUUUGUAAGACAAGAAGCCGUGUUGGAACAUAGCGAUAUUGGUUCUUUAAUUGGGAGCGGUGAGCUCAUCAUAAAAGUGUUGAGCUCUGAGGUUGUACAGCUGUUAACCAGCAGCUGCAGACCAGGCAAAAGUGCCUGUCCUUCAACAGGAUGGGAGUCAAGGGGUUGACCCCAGUGAGGAAGCUGGGUAAGUGCUGUGGAACUCUUCCAGGUAGUUAAAAGUCCCUUUUUCAUUAUAGUACUUUUCCUAGAAGUGAUCCUCCCAUCAUUAAAUAGAGGUAAGCUACUGAAGUCAGUUUUGCCCUUCAACUUCUCAGGACCGCUGGACUGGAGAUGGCACAGGAGCAGUUGAGUAUAAUCACCAUUGAAAAAUGGACUGAAGAAAAACUUAAGGAAAAAGAAAAAGAUGGGCUGAACAUGGAAGAAGUUCACCUGUCAAGCAAAAUUAUCUGCUUCUACUUUUUUGCACAAUGAUAAAUAAGAUUUCCCAUACUAAUAAAAAAUACAUAAAUGUUGAAUUUGAAAGUCCCUAUUGUAACAAACACUGCUAAACUUAAUAUAAAUUCACCAAAUCCCAGAAAUUAGAGUUUAAAUGGGCUAUUGUACCCCUAAAUAGUAAAAUUCAUAGUGCU
rnacentral:lncRNA from 1 species